rnacentral:rRNA from 1 species
UUGGACAGAUUCUUCGGAUGAAGUCCUUAGUGACUGAGUGGCGGACGGGUGAGUAACGCGUGGGUAACCUGCCUCAUACAGGGGGAUAACAGUUAGAAAUGGCUGCUAAUACCGCAUAAGCGCACGGUACUGCAUGGUACAGUGUGAAAAACUCCGGUGGUAUGAGAUGGACCCGCGUUGGAUUAGUUAGUUGGCAGGGUAACGGCCUACCAAGGCGACGAUCCAUAGCCGGCCUGAGAGGGUAGACGGCCACAUUGGGACUGAGACACGGCCCAGACUCCUACGGGAGGCAGCAGUGGGGAAUAUUGCACAAUGGGGGAAACCCUGAUGCAGCGACGCCGCGUGAGCGAAGAAGUAUUUCGGUAUGUAAAGCUCUAUCAGCAGGGAAGAAAAUGACGGUACCUGACUAAGAAGCCCCGGCUAACUACGUGCCAGCAGCCGCGGUAAUACGUAGGGGGCAAGCGUUAUCCGGAUUUACUGGGUGUAAAGGGAGCGUAGACGGAAUGGCAAGUCUGAUGUGAAAGGCCGGGGCUCAACCCCGGGACUGCAUUGGAAACUGUCAAUCUAGAGUACCGGAGGGGUAAGUGGAAUUCCUAGUGUAGCGGUGAAAUGCGUAGAUAUUAGGAGGAACACCAGUGGCGAAGGCG